rnacentral:misc_RNA from 1 species
AAGUCGUAACAAGGUCUCCGUUGGUGAACCAGCGGAGGGAUCAUUACAGAGUUGCAAAACUCCCAACCAUUGUGAACCUACCUCACCGUUGCUUCGGCGGGUGGCCCGGGGCAACCCAGGCCGCGCCGGCCCCCUUCUUCGGGGGGCCCGGCAAGCCCGUCAGAGGACCGAAACCCUGUAAUUACUGGCCUCUCUGAGUAACUUAUACAAUAAGUCAAAACUUUCAACAACGGAUCUCUUGGUUCUG